UUUUGUUAGUAUAAAUUAUUACAUUUAGCUUCCAACUAAAAAAUCCUUUUUGACAAAAUAA
rnacentral:tRNA from 1 species